rnacentral:rRNA from 1 species
GACAGAGGAUGCAAGCGUUAUCCGGAAUGAUUGGGCGUAAAGCGUCUGUAGGUGGUUCGCCAAGUUUUCGUUUAAAUGCCAAGGCUCAACCUUGGAAGUGACGAAAAAACUGGCGAACUCGAGAAUGAGAGAGGUCACUGGAAUUCCUUGUGUAGGAGUGAAAUCCGUAGAUAUAAGGAGGAACACCAAUGGCGUAGGCAGGUGACUGGCUCAUUUCUGACACUGAGGCACGAAAGCGUGGGGAGCGAACGGG